UGAUCUUCUCGCUGGCCUACCUGGUGCACCUGGUGCAGCGCUCCGAAAUGAAGCCCGCGGCGGUGGUCGGAGCUUCGGCGGCGAUCUCGGUGGCCCUGGUGUACCCGGUCAUCAACCGGAACCUCCUGGAGCAGCGGCCCCUCCCCCUGGAGAACCGGAUUACUGCCGCCUCCCUCGAAGACCGCACGGUUCCGUCGGAUGUCAUCUUCUCGGACCAGCCGUGGUUCGUGGCGUGGUAUGCAGACCGCCCCUCGAUCUGGCUGCCGACCGACGAGAAGACCGGCGAGCUCGCGGACCGUUUUGCGCCGCGGCGAUGGAUCUUUCUAACCGAUGGAGCGGAGGCGCACUCGCCCGCCUGG
rnacentral:misc_RNA from 1 species